rnacentral:rRNA from 1 species
CUACGGGAGGCACCAGUGGGGGAUAUUGCACAAUGGGCGAAAGCCUGAUGCAGCAACGCCGCGUGAAGGAAGACGGUUUUCGGAUUGUAAACUUCUAUCAGCUGGGAAGAAAAUGACGGUACCAGACUAAGAAGCCCCGGCUAACUAUGUGCCAGCAGCCGCGGUAAUACAUAGGGGGCAAGCGUUAUCCGGAAUUACUGGGUGUAAAGGGUACGUAGGCGGCAGAUCAAGUCAGAUGUGAAAGCCCGGAGCUCAACUCCGGGAUUGCAUUUGAAACUGGUCGGCUAGAGUGCAGGAGAGGUAAGUGGAAUUCCUAGUGUAGCGGUGAAAUGCGUAGAUAUUAGGAAGAACACCAGUGGCGAAGGCGGCUUACUGGACUGUAACUGACGCUGAGGUACGAAAGCGUGGGGAGCGAACAGGAUUAGAUACCCUUGUAGUC